rnacentral:rRNA from 1 species
AUGAUUACUUACAAUAAUUAUAAGUUUAUUAAAUUAAACAUAAUCUAAAAAACAAUUAUUAAAGUUAUAGUAAUUUUUUAAAAAAUAAACAUAUUUAGUAAUUAAAAAGAAUUUUAAUAAUAAAAAAGAAAAAAUAAAAAUUUGUUCCUUGUGUAUCAUGAUACAUAGAAAUAUAAAAAAAAUUUUAUAUCUCGAAAAAAAAAGAACUAGAAAUCAUUUUGAUUAAUGUAGCAUAAUUACGAAAAAAGAAAUCUAGAAAUAAAAAAUUUACAUUUUUUUUGAUAUCUAGUUAUUUUAGAAAGAAAUUUAAUUUCAAUUAUCUUUUUAAAAGAAGAUAAAAAAAUUUUUUAAGGGAUUAGCUUUAAAAAAUAUUAUAAUUAAAGAAAAAAUUAUAAAAAUAGGAAUUAAAUUAACCAAAUAAAUUUAACAUUUUAAAUUUUAUAAAAAAAAUUUUAUACAAAUUAUUUAUUUAUAAAAAUAAAAAAACAAAAACAAAAAACAAAAAUUAUGUAAUUAGUAAAUUUUUAAAAAAAAAUUUAGGAACUCGGCAAAUAAAAUUAUCCGAAUGUUUAACAAAAACAUUGUUUCUAGACAUUAUUAGAAAUACAGCCUGCUCAGUGAAUAUUUAAACAGCCUAUUAAGCUAAGGUAGCAUAAUAAUUUGUCUCUUAAUUAGAGGCUUGUAUGAAAGGUCAAACGAGAUAAAAACUUUCUUAAUAAUUAAAAUUAAAUUUUACCUUUAAGUUAAAAGGCUUAAAUUUUAUUAAAGGACGACAAGACCCUAUAGAACUUGAAAUUUUUUAAAAAUAAAAAAUAAAAAAAAAGUUUUACUGGGGAAGUAAAAAAAAUAAAAAUUUUUUUUAAAAAAAACAAUUUAAAGAAUAAAAGAUCCUUAACAAAGAAAAAAGAAAAAGUUACCUUAGGGAUAACAGAGUUAAAUUUUUUGAGAGACCAAAUCGAAAAAAAAUAUUGCUACCUCGAUGUUGAAUUAAGAUAAAUAUUAAUAGAAAAAAAUUAAUUAAUUAGGUCUGUUCGACCUUUAAAAUCUUACAUGAUUUGAGUUAAGACCGGCGCAAGCCAGGUUGGUUUCUAUCCUUAAUUCUAUAAUUUUUUUCAGUACGAAAGGACCAAAAAAAGUAAAAUAUUUAACCAAUAAAAAUAAUUACU